UAAGGAAUAUUGGUCAAUGGACGCAAGUCUGAACCAGCCAUGCCGCGUGGAGGAUGAAGGUCCUCUGGAUUGUAAACUUCUUUUAUCUGGGACGAAACACUUCUUUUCUAAGAGGCCUGACGGUACCAGAUGAAUAAGCACCGGCUAACUCCGUGCCAGCAGCCGCGGUAAUACGGAGGGUGCAAGCGUUAUCCGGAUUCACUGGGUUUAAAGGGUGCGUAGGUGGGUAUGUAAGUCAGUGGUGAAAUCCCCGAGCUUAACUUGGGAACUGCCAUUGAUACUAUAUAUCUUGAUUACCGUAGAGGUAAGCGGAAUAUGUCAUGUAACGGUGAAAUGCUUAGAUAUGACAUGGAACACCAAUUGCGAAGGCAGCUUACUAUGCGGUGAUUGACACUGAGGCACGAAAGCGUGGGUAGCAAACA
rnacentral:rRNA from 1 species